UUUGCCUUCAUUAAGCCAGACUCUAAUCCUCUGUUGAUGACACUUAACCACAUUCUUUUUCAGGUCACUGGGAUGGCCAUGCUUGACUCCACAGCUGCAAGUUUUAUCAGAUUGUCUCUGAGAGGCCACAUCUGGUUUAUGCAGCGCCCUCCACUCUGUCAUACUGAAGGUCUGCAGCCUCUAGCAAACCCCUGCAUCUUCCCACCAGGGCUUGCCAACGCAUGGCUCAGCAGGAACAAAACCAAAGAGCUCUGAAAUACCACGCCUGACCUGGUCAUCUUGAUUCACAAUGAGGCUGCCAGCUGGUCGACAGCCUGUGCCAAGCUCACCAAGGGAAACCAGUGGUUAUGGUCCCCCUGGGAAGGAUGAUCUUUGAAGUACUUAACAGAACCCAUGGACAGGGACCAGAAAGAUGGCUCAGCAGGUAAAGGUACUUGCUGCCAAGUCUGACUGCUUGAGUUCCAUGUAAUAGAAAGAGAAAAUGGACUCGCAGUAAUUAUCCUCUGACAUCAAUGUGUGCUCUGUGGCAUGUACAUACCACAUGGUCUUUUUGGUUUGGGUUUCCCUGUAGCCCCAGCUGGCCUGGAACUC